ensembl:snRNA U1 U1 spliceosomal RNA
AUAUUUACCUGGCGGGGGAGAUACCCUUAUCACAAAGGUGGUUUUCCCAGAGUGAGGCUUAAAUGCUGCAUUUCAGAUAUGUUGACCCUGUGAUUUACCCACAUUUGGGAAAUUCAUCUGCAUAAUUUGUGGUAGUGGGAGACUGCGUUUGCUUCUCCCUU